UACGUAGGGCGCAAGCGUUAUCCGGAAUUAUUGGGCGUAAAGAGCUCGUAGGCGGCUUGUCGCGUCUGCUGUGAAAACCCGAGGCUCAACCUCGGGCUUGCAGUGGGUACGGGCAGGCUAGAGUGCGGUAGGGGAGAUUGGAAUUCCUGGUGUAGCGGUGGAAUGCGCAGAUAUCAGGAGGAACACCAAUGGCGAAGGCAGAUCUCUGGGCCGUAACUGACGCUGAGGAGCGAAAGCAUGGGGAGCGAACAGGAUUA
rnacentral:rRNA from 1 species